rnacentral:piRNA from 1 species
UAAGAGUUAAGACAGCAUGACCUUCUGCC